rnacentral:rRNA from 1 species
ACGAACGCUGGCGGCGUGCUUAACACAUGCAAGUCGAACGGAAAGGCCCUGCUUUUGUGGGGUGCUCGAGUGGCGAACGGGUGAGUAACACGUGAGUAACCUGCCCUUGACUUUGGGAUAACUUCAGGAAACUGGGGCUAAUACCGGAUAGGAGCUCCUGCUGCAUGGUGGGGGUUGGAAAGUUUCGGCGGUUGGGGAUGGACUCGCGGCUUAUCAGCUUGUUGGUGGGGUAGUGGCUUACCAAGGCUUUGACGGGUAGCCGGCCUGAGAGGGUGACCGGCCACAUUGGGACUGAGAUACGGCCCAGACUCCUACGGGAGGCAGCAGUGGGGAAUAUUGCACAAUGGGCGGAAGCCUGAUGCAGCAACGCCGCGUGCGAGAUGACGGCCUUCGGGUUGUAAACCGCUUUCGCCUGUGACGAAGCGUGAGUGACGGUAAUGGGUAAAGAAGCACCGGCUAACUACGUG